CCACCUGCCAUGGGUGUGAGAUAGCAGAAAAGGAAGAGGUUGAAGAACUUGCAGACAAGACAAAAACCAAGGUGCUGCCCAUGUUACAUAAACUGUGAGUCUGGACAUACGCAGAGCUUGUGGGAAGGAGCGGCAAAUACCAGACUUGCAUUUCAGAGCUACAAAUCAAAACAGGUAGUGACACACAUCUUUAUGAUGACUGAUUAUUUUAUCCUCACAGACACACAGCAGUAGCAGUAAUUCCAGAAUUUAGCUCUGUGAUGUGCAAAAAAAGGAUUAUCUUCUUGUUUGCUUAGAGCUCACUAUCUGAUAAUUUAAUUUGAUACUUCCUAAUUUCUGAAAUAAAAGAACAAAUGUUUCCUUUUCA
rnacentral:lncRNA from 1 species